ACAAUAUUCAAAAACAACAACAACGCAAUAUAAGCAUAUGAGCUAGACAUUUUGGCGGUAAGAGCGAUACCAUCCACCUGGAGGGAUACAAAAGUUGUCUUUAUCUUUCAAGCAACUAAAGCUUUACAAGCGACAUCUUAUAAGUCGGAAAUCCUUUUUCCUUACAAAUUUGAGCGGAUCUUUGGUCUGCACAUUAGGACCCAAAGCUAAUCUCAACAGGACAGCAUGCCUACUCAAAGGGUAGGUCCACAGAAUAAGCUUAACAAACAAUAGUCAACCAACUGAAAAGUUACUCAACUUUAAGGAAAACCUUUUAACAAGGUACUAUCUCUUGUCAUAACAGAAUCUGUUACAUAUCUGGGUGUUAAACUCCCAAUUGUGGAUAUCAACAGAAGAUUGCUUAUAAGCAGAAUGGUAUCUUCCACCUUAGGACAUCUCGACCCACACCAGGUUUGUGAACAGAGGCGUACUUUUUCUUCAGCUGUGAAACAUCGGAGUCUAUAAACUGCUUUGUAACUUAGAAGGAGGGAAAUGCAAGGGCAUAACAUAUGCGGAUGGUGUUGCCAUCAUCUUCUCCGGUAAAUUCCCACAACAAAUCUGGGAUCUGCGCAAAGAUGAAAACACUCUUGCUCAGCAGUAAUCAAUGGAAAGCAACGAAAUGCGGAGUUUCCCCAAAUACCGUAAACUUGAUCUACACAAGCAGUAGUAUAACACUUUCUACUUUACGUAAUAUCAAUUUGGGAUAACCGUCGUAUCACACGCCCCACGUGACCCAUCUUAGACGCAACUGGCUUGUAGGCAUGCAUGCUAUCAGAGGAGGAAGAAAACAUGGUGAAACACCUUUUCUAUUCCUGCUCGACUCUAUGCAGUACUGGAUUGAAUCACAAAGGCUGCCCCUUCCUGAUCAGUCUCACCGAACUGGGAACAACAAGCCCAUAAAGGUUUAAACAAUUUAUGAAAGCGACCGGAUUGGAGCUAGGCUACACUAGCUGCAGGAGAGCAUAUUUGACGGCCGGCCUAAAUGAAAGGAGGAAUCGUCAAACCAAUAGCGCACUAUUCACAAACGUUGUUUAACGCAGAGCGGUUUAACCUCUCGGUUCAUAAGGCGGUCUCGCUUAUUUUCGGCGUCAACAAAUUCCAUAACUAUCUUUAUGGCCGUGAAUUCACCUUGAUGACAGACUAUAACCUGCUUCUAGGCAUAUUUACCGAAACAAAGGUACUGAUAAACUUCCACACAAAUCAGAUGCUGAGACGAGCAAUUUUCUUGAGUCCGUACGAAUUACCAUUACAGAUCGUGCUACUAUUCGUAAUAUCCGAACGGCACCUUUUCAUCCUGCGGCCAAUGGACAAGCUGAGCGAACGGUUCAAAGCACAAAAGUCUUUUUAAGAAGAAUGACCGAAUAUCUGUUUAGCCAACAUUACACACCAUACUCGACUAUGGGACGCUUGCCAGAAGACCUGCUCCUCAAUCGAGAGCUCAAAUCAUUCCAGUGAGCAGCGCUGUAAGCACAGGCGUUAUCUUUGGAAGAAAAACAAGACAGAUCCAGGCGACAGCAACAACCCGCACAAAACUAUUACGCAUCUUUGUGUUAAGAGGUGUGGUGCAUGCGUACAGUCUCUAACCAAUGCAGAUCUUACUGCAUCAGCGAUAUUUCAUGUUUUUAAUAAACAAUUAAAUAUA